rnacentral:lncRNA from 1 species
GUUGAACUUCGUUGGGAGUUGAUCACGAGUCGUUACGAGUUAUUGGUUGCCGAUUGUUGCGAGUUCGUCGUGAGUUGUGAGUUUUGAAGGAAGAGUACAAGGAAACGGCCGAGAAACUUCAGCAAGAAAUCGCAUCUUUACGUUUGAUAGUCUCAAUUAAGAAAGAUAACGAGAGAACCAAAGACGUCAGUGACAGUGAUACGGAUAAAACGAUUCAAGAAGAGUCCAUUUUGAAGCCUGAAGAUGAUCCUGUGUUGGAUAUGACACAGCAACUGAUCUCGAAUCGCGAAAAGAUCGAGAUACUGUCACGGCAAAACGAUCGGCUGUCGAAAACACUGUGUCGAUUACGGCAAUAUCAAAGAAAUACGAUUAGUGGCGACAUACAUCGUUGAAGCAGUGCAAGUUCUAUAAUUUUACCGAUUCAUCCGUCGAGCUUGAUAAUAUGAAGAUUUUGGACACGGUUUUACAUAUCCUCCACCUCACGGAGGAAAAGGUCGACUUCAUUUCCGAGCUUCCUCCAGAGAUGUCGCGGUUGAUACUGCAAAAGCUCGAUCCUGAGUCGCUUUUGCGUGCUGCGCAGGUCUCGCGUUCCUGGAUGAAUAUUUGCCAGUCUGAUCCUUGUUUAAAGGACACUGCAAGACGAUACAAAAAUGCAAAGAAGUUAGAGUUGGAAAAAGCGAAAGAAAUUUCCAACUUUAUUGAUUCCGCCGGCUUAGAUUGUCUGAACCAUACGGACAAUAAGAUAAAAGAGUUGAACGAUUACUACAAAUCCUGUGAUUAUACUCAAUGUGCACAAGUAUAUAAAACCAUACGUUUAGUCGACAAAUAUUCACAUAGAAACUGUUUGAAUUACAUAGAUGAAUGCCCAAAUUUAUGGUAUCAUUUAUAAGCAUAUUAAUUUAUAAGCAUAUUAAUUUAUAUUUAUAAGUGAAUCGACUACACUGCUGCGUAUCAGUGAUGUAUCUUUAAAAUUGUAUAAUAAGUCAAUUAAGUGUGCAAUGUUGUAAGAAAUGUAACUUUUAAAAUAAAAACAAUAAUCAUUAUA